AGGUGAGCAGUGUAGUAGGGUCUGUCCCUCUCCUCACUAGCUGAAGGUUUAUUUUUAGCCAGAAGAGAAAUCAUUGUUAUGCCAUGGCAACCAGAUCUGGGAGGCUGUGGACCAAUCCAUGCAGAAGCACUGAGUCACUUCAGCCUUCGGACAUCCCUUCUUACCUCUCAUCCAGCCUUCUGCUGAGGAUGUCACAUGGUGUGGAAUAUUCCUUUGCUCAGUUUAGGUCAGCUGUUCUGGUUCUGUGCCCCCCCAGCCCCCUUGCUGGCAGGACAGUACAAGAAGUUGAAAAACUGAAACAUCCUUGCAGCUGUGCUCAGCAACAGCUAAUAUGUUGCAGGAAAUACUCCUAAUGACUACAUUAAUAAUUAUGCACUCGGAAAACCAAGACUGAUCACUGAGGUGAAUAUUGGGACAACAAAGUUUUCACAUGAAUCUUUCAGUGGACUGCAGUAAUCUAUUCUGCCUGCCAUGGCUACAAGGAUGUGAAGCAUUUUAUAAAAGAAGACUGUGUUUGGUCGCAGCAGGUUACAAAGAAAGGCCUUGAUCUUGCAAGUGGCUUUGAGCAGAUUCCUGAACCAUUGUAGGGCCAGUUGUGGCAGCAUGAACAAAGAGCCCAACCACAGCUUUGUGCCUCAAAAUUUUCCUAAUGGGAGGAUGAACCUCCAUCAGCUUUUUAAUGGAGCCAUCCUCUUCCUCAUUCCAAGUGUCUCACAUUCUCUGUGCAUGCCCAUGCAAAGGAGUGGCUUUGCUCUACAAAUGUUUAUGGCUGCUGUGAGGGAGGAUGAUGGUCCUGCGUAGCCCCACCUUUCUCUCCUUACCCUGGCCCAUGCUCAGCUGUGUCUUUGCCACAGUCCCUAGGCAGUACAAGGAGAUUUUUCUGCAAGGGCAUCAGCAAGAUGCGGAGGAAAAAGCAUGCGCAGAUUUUGGUGUCUGGUAGCCAUUAGAUGGAGCGUGACUCCCCAUUGCUGUCUACACCCAGAACAGGGGCCAUAGCAUGCACUGGACCUAGACUGGGUGCUCUGAAGCCAUGAUUGUGCUCUCAGAAGGUAAAUAUGACACAGCCACAGGUGGCCUGAGUUUCAGGUGAAAAAUUAUCUAGGAGGUUUUGCUGUCCUGUCCUAUAGAAGAUGUGUUUUCCAAGGGCUGUGAACAAACAGGAUGCUUCUGUGGGGCAGCGUAGCUAAAACAUGGUAUCUGUGGGGUUCUUCUUCCCACAGAGAUGCUGGCUAGUGGGCCCCCAUCAGGGUGGGCAACACAACCUGAGACCUCCAGCAUCCCUGUCCUACCAAGUACAUGGUGCCCACCUCACAGCUCCUCCUGCCACACUUCCCCUCCCCACCUCAGUUGCCUUUGCACUCUGUUUGUAUAACUCCUGUCACUGCUUGGGCUAUCAGAUGCUGCAAUAAUGAAAAUAAGAUGAAAUAGAG
ensembl:lncRNA